rnacentral:rRNA from 1 species
UACGGAGGAUCCGAGCGUUAUCCGGAUUUAUUGGGUUUAAAGGGAGCGUAGGCGGCCUUUUAAGUCAGGGGUGAAAGACGGUGGCUCAACCAUCGCAGUGCCUUUGAUACUGACAGGCUUGAAUGUAGUUGAGGUAGGCGGAAUGUGACAAGUAGCGGUGAAAUGCAUAGAUAUGUCACAGAACACCGAUUGCGAAGGCAGCUUACUAGACUAUAAUUGACGCUGAGGCUCGAAAGCGUGGGGAUCAAACAGG